GCCCAGGUGGCGGAAUUGGUAGACGCGCACGGUUCAGGUCCGUGUGCCGCGAGGCGUGAAGGUUCGAGUCCUUUCCUGGGCACCA
rnacentral:tRNA from 33 species